GCAAACUUGGUCAUUUAGAGGAAGUAAAAGUCGUAACAAGGUUUCCGUAGGUGAACCUGCGGAAGGAUCAUUAAUGAGUUUUGAAGGUGGGGGGUCUGCUGCUGGUGUGGGAACGCGCAUGUGCAUGGCCCCUCGCUCGAUUCACUCUCAAACCUCAUGUGCACCUUUGCAAAGUGGAGUAGGCCUCUCCGUUUGGAGGAACUAGUAGUUGGUAUGGCGAACGUCCUUUGUUUGAAGGGGAGGUCGAAAGCUUUGAUUUUUUUGUGUCAACGUUUUGUAUGUUUUGUGGAUGUGGACACCCCUUGUGGGUGAAAUUGGGAAUACAACUUUCAACGACGGAUCUCUUGGCUCUCGCAUCGAUGAAGAACGCAGC
rnacentral:misc_RNA from 1 species